AAGAGAAAGCCCUCCAGAUGCUUUGGACUACAACUCCCAGCAGCCCCAGCCAGGUGGCUACUGGGAGCUGUAGUUGGAAACAUUUGGAGGGCUUCGAC